rnacentral:rRNA from 1 species
UACGGAGGGUGCAAGCGUUGUCCGGAUUUAUUGGGUUUAAAGGGUGCGUAGGUGGCCCGUUAAGUCCGGGGUGAAAGCCCACUGCUCAACAGUGGAACUGCCCUGGAUACUGACAGGCUUGAGUCCAGACGAGGUUGGCGGAAUGGAUGGUGUAGCGGUGAAAUGCAUAGAUACCAUCCAGAACCCCGAUUGCGUAGGCAGCUGACUAGGCUGGUACUGACACUGAGGCACGAAAGCGUGGGGAGCGAACAGG